GCGGCACGGCGCGAUGGAGGACUGCGAAAGAACCGCGCCGGCCGAAGACGCCGCGCACUACCGCCUCUCGGCCGCGGCGACGGCACCGCGGUGCGCCUGGAGCCGCUGCUGGGCGCCUCCAUCUGGCAGCGCUUCCGGCUGCGAGAGAGCAGAUCCUGUGUGGAUACUCAGAAAGCACUGAGCACACCAAGCUGAAUGUUGUAAUCUGGAAGCAAGUCUGGGUCAUGCUAUGGAAACGCAUGGAGUGAGGUGGGGAGAUAAGAAGAAGAAAGGAGUGGGGCUAAAAGUGGAAAUGGCACGUUCCAGAGAUGAGAAGAAGAGAAAAAUGAUGGAGUAUUAAAAUGAUGGGAGAAAAAACAAGAGCAACCGCCACCAAGAGAGGCAGCGAGGCAUAUUUCAAAGGAAACUGGAAGCAGGAGAGUUGCAGUUAGGUUCAGUGGUGCGUGAGUUCAUCUAAAGGUCUGGCUGGACUGGAGGGGAGGCACCUCAUCUGUACCAACUUUCUGUCCUGUUCCCCCUUCAAGUAUCUGUACUGAUGGCUUUGCAUCUUGACACUUGAAUUCUGGCCAAGUAAGCAGGAAGGGCUGAGCCUAAAAAAGCAGCAGAUCCGUCCGUCUGCCUCCUCUGCUUUUGUUUCCCCAAAUCUUUGUUACUCUCCCUGCAGACACGAUACCAUUUCACCAGUAAAGCAAGACCAGCUCUCCAAGCAAGACACAGAGUUCUGGCACCGGACGAGAGAUGUUGUGUCUUUCAGUAAUGUUAUUUUACCUUUGAGUUUUUUGGGUUCUAAUAUGCUCAUAUAUAGGCUUUGCUCUUCCACUCUCUACCACCAGGUAGCUCUGUUCUCACUUCCUUGGGAUGGAAGUGUCAUGCUCUGUCCCGCUGGCAGGGAAAAUGGUGUCUUCAGAAGUAGUUUCAGUUACUCUCAUAUAUCAUCAAAGUAGGAGUAUGCUUAACGUUUGGGGGAAAGAAAACCCAACAAAGUUUCAUAUGAAACUGGAAGAUUUAAUGGUAAGGGACUUGGAAGAAAGGGAGAGCAUACAGGCAUUGCCUUUUCUAUUGUUUCUUUGAUUGUCACUCCAGGUUGAUAUACAAAUGAACACUAAAAGACCUCUCUCCCUUAAUGCCUUUUCUGGAAAAGUGGUGGGUUCAGAUAUCCAUCACAACCUCUAGAUGGAUAAAAUGGAGAAAAGAGGGACAUAGCUGCACAGCGCUCAUUGUUCUAUUGCUUACUGGGCAAUACCAGCAGCAGGUGACAACAUUUCGUGCUUUGGGACAAAGAAUUUUACUGUACAUUUACUGCAAGUUAACGGAUCUCAAAGAUGAUCCACUGAGCAAGGAGCUGUCUGAGGAUGAUCAGUUUAGAAAUGGCUGUGUAGGUCUGUGUAUCCAAAUGUAGGACUGCCAUCAGGUUACACCUGCUCUAUGACAGAUUUCAGCUGUGGAAGUUUUCAUGUCAAGCAUUACUCAUUCUGGUAGAGGUAUAGGCUUGAUGAAGUCACUGCACCUGAGCUGGCUAGGAAGUCUGCUGCUUAACCCACUCGUUGAUCAGUUGGUGAGCAAUGGCCUGCUUGGGAGGGAACCAGGGUAAAAAAUUUCCAUUGUCUUGCUUUGCAGAUUUGGGUUCUCGCUUGAGACCCUCCAUGACUUCCUCCAGGCCAAACCAGCGGGCUUCCUCCAGCUCCAGGCUGUUCAUACUGAUCUGGAAAGAAUUAGGGGGGGGUAGCAGUUCCUUAAAUCAGCUUUAAAUGUGGGCAGCAGUCCCUUGUUCUUGCACCCACAAGGAUCCCAUGCUGGAAUUAACUGUUGAUACCAGCACAGGAGAGGACGUGACUGCACACCAUUGUUUCCUUAGGGAAGCCACGAGUCAGUUAGCCCCGUUCCAUCAUGGCAUUGGCCUGCAAAGUACUAGUGUCUGAGCACCAUAAUUAACGUAGCAGAAACUGCAUGUUCUACAGUGGAUAAUGUUCUGAAUAUUAGAAUGUAACUGCUCUGCAAAGUUAAGAGGAAAAAAAUGUAGAGGCGUUGUGCUCUGGGCUUGUACAUUCAGUGACCUGUGCAAAAUUUUGCAUGUUACAACAGAAGCAAUCAUUAUUUUCUAGUCUCUUCCUCACUUGUAGGAAGCUAGCUGGAAAAAGCAUUUAGAGAGGGAGCUGAUGCUAUCCAAGCUAAAGUCUGUGGGCCAAAAGAGAUUCUGCUAUGUAAAGCUGGCAUUGAAAUGCCUUGAAGGAACCUGAGUCCACUCACCUCCAACUGCUGUCCCCUCACCAAUGCAUGACAAGCUAUCAUUAAGCAGCUGCUGGGGAAGGGCCAGUGCUGGGAUGCUGAGUACCAGAGUGACUCCACCUCCAGGCCCACCUCUUCUGCCACCUCUCGUCGGGCUGUCUCCUCCACAGCUUCACCUAGAAGCAAACAUAUUUGAGUAAGGGCAGGGUGGCAUCAGGGCAGCGAACCGUGGCAAGAAAAGGUAGGUACACUCAUUUCUGAGGUGUUCCAGCCCUGACUGUCAAGCAUGAGAAGGAGCUCUGGUUGUGCUGACCUGGGAAUGCUUAUGUAUUGAAUUGAGCAUCUUGCUGCCAGUGCUUACCUCCCUUAACCAAAGCCAUCAGAGACACUUUUGGUUUUGUCUGUAUGCAGCCAGAGGACAGAAUGUGGGGCUGCCCCUCUUUGUUUCCCUUUUUAAGCCACUUUCCCUCCUGUAACUAAGGGUCACAAGUCUGGGGUUUCUUUCUGAGCCAGAUGGUACAAGAUACAAAAUGGACCAAGAAGUAUCUGGGGCUUCUAUUCUGGGAAGUCUUACACUUAAAUUUACUACCAGAGACUACAGCAACUGAUACAUACUCAUAAUUCACCCAUUCUCUUCACAUAUAUAUUAUUUUGAACCCUAACUGAAUAGCGAUGCUGAGCCAAUCCUUAUUUUUGUGGUAUCAACCACGCAUCACUCAUCUUUCGUGAGCAGGCCCUUGGUUGAUGUCACACAGCUCUGCAUCUGAGGGCACCGUGCUGGACAAGAGGCCGCCUUACCUAUGUCGCAGAAGCCAGACAGAGCGGUGUACAUCCCCUGAGGAAACGAGGGCUGUCGUGCAAGGAGGCAGCGGCUGCCAUCAGACACCAAGAUGAUAACUACUGGAGACAUCUAGAAAAUGCACCCAUGAGCAAAGGAAGGAGUUCAGAUCAAACAUGUAAGUGCAAGUGGCUGGGGGUGCAUGCUGUCCGUGUGGCCCAGCAGUGACCUUGUGCUUACCUGUGCUGCUCAGGUGCCUACCUGUGGGUAAUAAGUUAUUCCGCUGGCGUGACACACGCGCUUGCUGCCAGCUACAUUCUUCUGAGUCGGCUGCCCAGUUUUGCUACAGUACUGGUGGGAAUCGUGCCACCGGAGAAGGGCCUGGGCCUGUGAUGAAGGAAAUACAGAUCUAUGGACAGCUGGAGCCAGGAGAUGAUUCAGAGCAGUCUCCCUGAGUGAUGCUUUGCUGUUUUCUCCCCAGCAUGCUGUUACGGGCGUGAACUCUGAUUACAUUUGGAAGCCUCUAUAAAGUAAAUGAAAUACGGGUUUUGAUAAAGGGGUCUUCUGCAAUUGGUGUUUUAUGUUUACUGCCCUAGCAUCCAAAUUUCAUCAUUUUAAGAGAAGGCGGAGGAAGAGUUGUUCCUUAUUGGGAUAUAAUGGGAGCAUUAAUGAGAACUGAACUAUCCGAAGGAGAUGCCCCAAAUACCUUUUGGGAAAAACAACCCAAGCAUAAAUGUUACAGAGCAGGAAAAGAAACAUUAAUUAUUUCUGCUUAUCUGUUUGGACGCCUUAUUUUCUGUCUUUAGGUCUUCCAAACAGGGCAUCUUGAGAGUAAUUACAGCAUCCUUGUACCUAGUUGGCUAAAAACUGACUGUAGAUACUUCCACAAUACAUAUUAAGUCAUAAAACAACGUGGGAGACAAAGAGAUGUUAGGAAUAGUAACUUCUUAAGGUUACAAAUCCUGCACUGUACCGAGGCCAGCAAGGAAGAAGAAUCCUCAUCCACUACAAAGAGAGCCUUUCGUAAGUCAGUGAACGAUCCCUUGAGCUCAGCCUCAAUGACUGAUCUUUCCAAGGCUCCUGCUUAAAAAACAACACAUCUGUGAUCUCAUGAACUGCAGUUCUUAUCCCAGCUUUACACCCUUCAUUGUUGCGGUAUACAAUUUCUGGAAGUUCCCCUGGAAGUGACAUCAAUGGUACACAUUUCCAAACGUUAAGUGACCUGCAAACAGCCCACCUUUACAAACGCCCAGAGGAAUGGGAGUGCAGUUCAGCCACGGUUUGGCUCAAUCACUGCGCUCACAGCAGCUCCUACAGAGGAUCGACUGAGUCCUCUUGGCAGUAAAUAAUCACCCAGCAUGGAGAAGGGACGCUGCCUCAGCAGCGUCUUCAUCUCAGUGCAUCAAAUGUGAUGCCAACACAGAUGGAAGAGGAGUCAUCCCAACCUAAAUCCAGGGCAAAGUGUGGUACGUGCUCAUCUGAACAACCGAUCAGCACCGACUUCUCUAUCCACUGUUCAGUCUCUUUGAAUUUCUCCAGGAUCCUUUUCAUUUCUAAAGAGCAGGAGAAAGGGGAAGGAAAAGCCGUAAGGAAAGUUAAUUUGUAUGACUGUGAAGCUCUUUCUGCAUUGCCAAGGCUUGUGCAAUCUGGGCUUGAGGCAUGGUGCUCGUGCGAGAGCAGUGGUGGAGACCAGAAGCGUAGCUUCCUUCCUAGAUGUUGCAUCUUUUGACCGUGUCAAGCUAAAGAUGCGAAUGCUUUUAUGCUUGAGGAACAGCUGUCCAUUCCAUUUCUCUCUUAUGCCAGCUGAUACUUUUCUCUCAAAACUUCUCCCUGCUUUGAUGGUAGAAUUCUGUCUGUUACCCUGCCAGCUCUUCAGAAGUUAUGGUCCCACAUACUUAAAAUUUAUCAUCUCAAAGCAGCUCAGGCAUAUUUUGAUACCAUAUGCAUGUGAAGAACAUGAGCUCACGUCAAUGUGCUAAGGUUUUAACUCCAAAUAGUCUUUUUUGGUAGCAAACAGCAUGUUGUAUAUAACAGGAUGUUCCAUGCACGUCUCGGUGGAUUUUUAACCCAUGUAAGGUGUUGUUUAUUGCAAAUGACCCUGUAUCAUUUGAGCUGCGUGACCUGCAAGAUGCCCUGACUGGACACCUGCUUACCUGCUGCACUGAGCUGUGGUAUCAAAUAUUUCUCCUCGACUUUCCGCAGGAAAGGUAGAGUGUGACCUGCAAAAGAGAGCAGCUCUUCUAUACGCUGCUUGAUAAAUCGCAGCCAUAAUCAGCACCAAUGGGAAGCUGUCUCUGCCUGAAAAGAGAAGCACAGAGCAUAACACAGUGGCCUUGAAAAGGUAAAUGUGAUUUAAAAGGUGCAGUAACCCAAUGGUAUGUGCUUUUACAGAACCUAGAGAAUGCCGGCAUUUGCUUUCCAAAAUAAGCGUGCACAGAAGGUCGUAAAGCUCUACAAGAUGAGGUUAAAUAUUCCUCUCUGAACUCCCGUACCAGUGGGGUAAAGAAGUGAGAGUGGCUGCUUUCUUGUUUGUUUUCUACGCAGUUGUAAUGGCCCCCAUCCAACUGAACGUCCUAUUGCAGCAAGCAGCAGAUCUGUGGGAAAGGCAUUGAUGCCAGAAGAGAAUGAAAGACAAAAUAUCGGCGGCGGAAGAGAAUUCCCAGAGCUCGAUGAGAGGCAGAAGUUGCAGCUGAACUGGAUCACCUCCAACUGAGAACCGCUUUUGUGCCAAAGGAUCCUACCACAUUGUCAGCUCAGGCAGUCACAGACUGCCGCCUGAACUCAGCUCCAGAAAACAGCCAUCUCGGGCAUUCAUCUGAAACAAAAAUGAGCUAUGAUUCACAAUCCUCAGCAAUUAUGUCGAGUAUUUCACUUUCCAACCACAGCUCUCAAAGCUCUCUAAGGAGGAAGUUGCGUUUCCUUAAUCCUACAGGCUGGGACGUGUAAGCUGUGCCAAGGAAGAGGCGGCGAGUCCUUCCUCUGAGGAAGGUCGGUGACGGCUCCUGAGCUGGGUGGUGCCUGAGCAGAGGCUCCUCUCCUUGCAGGCAGGCAGUCUCUGUGCCCAAUGCCAUGGAGGUGUCACAGUGGCUCCUGACAUCUCUGCCUACCCAGCAGGAGGUGGAUCGAGACCAGCCACUUCGCAAAUGCUUUGCCCACUUACUGCGCUCGGAGCAGAAGGCGUGCUGUCAGCAGUAGCAGGAAACAGCUCCGAAAGGCUGCCGUUGACCUCAGCUGGAAGCACUGCUCCUCCAGCAAGCAGAGCAGACAGCAGCUGUCUGACCACACUGAGUCGCUCUUCCCCCAGCAGGAGCUCUGGGAAAUGUAGUCCGGGAACCCAAGGCUCAGUUGGGUGGCUGACAGGGUCUGCUCCAGCUUUUCCUGCAGCUGUGGAGCUGCCCGGGGACGAGCCCUUCCUGCACGCUUCGUUCUGCCAGAAAUCCACAUGGUGUAAUUUGCCAAGCAAAAGCUAUUAUGGGAGCAACGCUACUGCAAUAAUUCUGAAAGUAUUACUUCCCGUUUGUUUAGUUUAUUUUUUUUCUUUGCAAGCUUCUCUGUUUUCUGCGUCAGCAGCAUAAGGGCAUUGUUUGAAGUUAAGGACCGUGUGUCCUCUAAGAGGAAAAUAUGCCAACAGCUGAACACAGCUGAGGAAUGGAGCUGCUGAGUGUUCUAGCAGCCAGACCCGCAGCUGAGUUUGCAGCGGCUCUGAUUAGAAAGUGCCCUUUGCCAGGAGAGAUGUUGGAAUAACAACAUGUAUUUUUCAUGCCUUCAUAACUGCAUACAUUUCUCUGGGACUGAGAACGUUACCCUGAGCUGGAACCUACCUGCCUGUAUUAAGGAGAGAGGGAAUUUUAUCAACAUGUAAAUGUUUUCAUUAGCUGUUUGGUGUGAUGUUCUAAUUGAGGAGUUGCCAUGUAACUUGAGAGCAUGGCUUGUAAAACGUAAUAAGUAGAGCAUGCAGGGAAAUAAUAAGUAGAAUAUGCAGGGAAAUGCCACUGGUUGUUGGCAUUGCUUAUGAGUUUAAGUGUAAUUAUGCUAUUUGUGAGCCUGCUCUGCUUCAGGAAGCACGAUCUUAUUAACCCACAGUGCUAAUUGGAUUAAUGGACAAAACAUCUUCCCUUAAUAAGAUAGAGCACCGAAGUGUGAUCUCCAGCGUAAACCCACCCUGCUGUUAAAACGAGCCAGUAGAUCUGCUGAGCCACUAACAGUGAUGGUAGUAAUCUCGCUAGCUCCUGCUCUUCUGUCUUGCCAGCUGCUCCCAACAAGAGGACACGAGCACUGGGACUGCCAUCAGCCCACUAUUGCAAAGCAACUGCUAAUUGCUGCCAGUGCAUCAAGCUAGCGAGCUCACACUGAAAAUGUGUGGUCGCGUCACAAGGAACCUCUUGCUAAAAAAUGUUUCUUUCCCAGGAAAAGGCUGGGGAAAGACAAACCACUUCUUCAAACAGAAAGUUAAUGAGUAGUCUUUUCCUCUGUCAUUACGCUGUUGAUACAAACUAACCUAUAAAUGGUGAGGCUGCCCAGCCCGGUGGUGGUGCUCUGAUCCUACAGGCAGCCGAGGUCAGGCUGGAGGGGGCUCAGAGCUCCUGCUGGAGCCGUUGGUGACCCUGUUCGUUGCAGGGGGAGUUGGACCACAUGGCCUUUAAGCGUCUGUUCCAACGGUAAGGAUGUGAUAAAGGCUUGGAUUCAUUUUAUCACAGCUUCAUUUUGUCAGCAGCCUCAUCUUUGGCCUUGAUGCUACUGGUUAAUAAACAGAUGGGCCACGUCAGCCUGAGAAAAUCCCGUUAAAAGUGAAGUUAAAGAUUAAAGAGUUAAAGCUUAGGAAGCUGAAGAGGCGUUGUUUUCAGGAGUGCUCCCGACACACCUCCACAAGCUGCUGCUCUACCUCUGCCCGCGUGUCCCGGGCUCCCCGCCUGAGGGCUUUCAAGCUGGAGGCUGGCGGACCGCUCCCCGCUUCUGUUUCUGUUGGAGAGAGACCAACGCGAGAGUAAGGGAGGCUUAUUUCUAACGGACGGUUCCGCUGGACCCCGACUCUCCUCCCGCUGCGGCACGGCACUGGCAGCGCAGGCCCUAUCCGCACGGGAACCGGCGGC
rnacentral:lncRNA from 1 species